rnacentral:rRNA from 1 species
AGUGAACGCUGGCGGCAGGCCUAACACAUGCAAGUCGAACGAACCGCAAGGUUAGUGGCGGACGGGUGAGUAACACGUGGGAAUCUACCUUUAGAUGGGGGAUAACUCAGGGAAACUUGGGCUAAUACCGCAUAAUGUCGAGAGACCAAAGAUUUAUCGUCUAAAGAUGAGCCCGCGUUAGAUUAGUUUGUUGGUGGGGUAAUGGCCUACCAAGACUACGAUCUAUAGCUGGUUUGAGAAGAUGACCAGCCACAUUGGGACUGAGACACGGCCCAAACUCCUACGGGAGGCAGCAGUGGGGAAUAUUGGGCAAUGGGCGAAAGCCUGACCCAGCCAUGCCGCGUGAGUGAUGAAGGCCUUAGGGUUGUAAAGCUCUUUCAGGGGGGAAGAUAAUGACGGUACCCCCAGAAGAAGCUCCGGCUAACUUCGUGCCAGCAGCCGCUGUAA